rnacentral:lncRNA from 1 species
ACCUAUCUUUAUAUAUAACACAUUUCUCUCCCAUAAGAAUUGUUAAACAUAUUUUUCCAGCCGAUUUUCUACCAGAUCGAUUUUAUUAGAGAUAAUUUUAAACUUCACAUCGCUCCGUGAAGUUAUCAUUUUUACUAUUUAAAGGCAAUUGUUUAUAUAUUUCUGAAAAUUUUUUGACUUUUUGAUUUACUCAUAUUAGAAGGCUAAUAUUAGAAAUAUUUUUUUUACAUUCCAAGUUAUUUCAAAUGUAUCCCUGCAGUUAAAUUAUGUUAAUAAACUGUUAGCAAUAUUCGUUAUCUCUGUUAAACUACUAGUUUACCCUUUCCAAUAUACCAAGCUUUCUAGCAUCACCAAUCUUUUUUUAUUUGCCCUUAAGUUAGGGGUAAAAGAAGUAUUUUGAUUUUUAGUUUUUUUUAAAUAUAUACUUAUACCAUUAACAACUUUUCUUAUUUACCCUUAAAUAAGAGUAAUAGAGGUAAUUUUAUUUUUUUAACUAUAACACAUAUUUAACUCACGUUUAAUCCGAGAUAACUUAACGGGUGAUAACUGCGGAAUUAUUUUUGACUAACGAAGAAAUAUGUGAGGGGUAUAAUCUAAGAAGUUAAAUCCCAUCAUCUCUUAUUAUUAUUAUAUUAU